rnacentral:misc_RNA from 1 species
UUUCCGUAGGUGAACCUGCGGAAGGAUCAUUAAUGUGUUUGGGUCUCACGGCUCUUCAUUCCGACGCUGUGCACCUUCGGGCUGCACGCUGAGGGAGCAUAUAUCCACCCCUGUGCACACACACGGUGGCGAGCUGGGUAACGGCUCGCCGCUGAUCUUUACACACGUCUAAAAGUCAUUGUAUGUUUAUUUGAGAUAAAAACACAACUUUCAGCAACGGAUCUCUUGGCUCUC